rnacentral:rRNA from 1 species
UACGUAGGGAGCGAGCGUUAUCCGGAUUUAUUGGGCGUAAAGAGUGCGUAGGUGGUUUUUUAAGUCUAAGAUUAAAGACUGGAGCUCAACUCCAGUUCGUUUUAGAAACUGAUUUACUUGAGUAUAGAAGAGGCAAGUGGAAUUUCUAGUGUAGCGGUAAAAUGUGUAGAUAUUAGAAGGAACACCAGUGGCGAAGGCGACUUGCUGGUCUAUCACUGACACUGAGGCACGAAAGCGUGGGGAGCGAAUAGGAUUAGAUACCCUAGUAGUCCACGCCGUAAACGUUGAGUACUAAGUGUUGGAAUUAUCCAGUGCUGAAGUUAACACAUUAAGUACUCCGCCUGAGUAGUACGGUCGCAAGGCUGAA